GCUCACAUGUAUUAAGUAAGCACACACUCCAUGAGUCUUUGGCAGGUGCUGGGGGUAAGGGUGUCAGAAGAUGAAGUAGACGUGAUCAUCACACUUUAAGAAACUCCUGUCAAGGACAUGGCUUUGAUAUGCUACAGUGGCUGCCCCUCCAACUUCUGAACCUUGGCAUGAGGGCAGCUGCGGUUGUGUUUGUGAUUUGGAUUCCACUGUGUCAGACUUUAGAACCAUGAGUUAUGUGGAGGCAGAAGCAGGUGUGAAACAUCCAUUUUGCUGGUGCUGAUUGUGGCAAAGGCAACGUGAUUCCGGAGCCAGCAGCUGCGGUGGCAGCUUAGCAGCCCUGAAGUUUCUGGAUGGUGGCAGAGACUGCAGCUUGCUUGUCAACCAGUUCCAGAGCGUAAUUUUAGACGUGAAAACCUCAUAUGAGUUGGGACAACACAGGUGAAUCUCGAAAACAUAACAUGGAAAGAAAGAAGUUACCCACAAAAAAGUUCACACUGUGUCAUUCCAUUCAUGUGCUGGUAAAUCAAGAAUAAAUAAGGUGUUGUGCUUCUAUACAAAUGGAAGGCAAGACCCUCCACCAGCAAAAAGAUUACAACUCUAUUUCAGAACUCAGCUUUAUGGCAGUGGUCUGGCUCUGAACCUGCACUAUCUCCAAGGUGUGCUUGUAUAUGAUUUGGAAAUAUUUUCUCUCAUCCCGUGGAUUGUCAUUUCAGUCUUUAGUGGUAUUGUUUGCGGCACAAAAGUUAUAAAUUUUGAUGAAGUUCA